rnacentral:rRNA from 1 species
AUUGAACGCUGGCGGCAGGCCUAACACAUGCAAGUCGAGCGGAGCGGCGGACGGGUGAGUAAUGCCUAGGUAUCUGCCUGGCAGUGGGGGAUGACGUCCGGAAACGGGCGCUAAUACAGCAUACUUUCCGUCGAGCCUAGGGCGGAUUAGCUAGCUGGUGGGGUAAAGGCCUACAAAGCCGACCAUCCGUAACUGGUCUGAGAGGAGGAUCAGUCACACUGGAACUGAGACACGGUCCAGACUCCUACGGGAGGCAGCAGUGGGGAAUAUUGGACAAUGGGCGAAAGCCUGAUCCAGCCAUGCCGCGUGUGUGAAGAAGGUCUUCGGGUUGUAAAGCACUUUAAGCUGGGAGGCGUUACCAGCAGAAGAAGCACCGGCUAACUUCGUGCCAGCAGCCGCGGUAAUAC